AUUCCGUUCACUACCACAAGAGGCGCACUGCUGCGCUCUAAUCUCUAUUGGAGCGAUGACUUUUGACCAAAUUAUAAUUUCGUUUAUAAGCCUGUUCACGUAGCUGUCCAACUGUGAAAAGCAGGCAGCAUAUGGAUGAGCGAUGUGUCAUGGAGUUUCUCAUCGCAGCAGGCACUGACAGCAGGGCCUCUUCACAACGAGCAGCAACAAAGCCAGCUACUGUACAACAGUCCCUGGGGUUGCAGUGAAGCACAGUUGUAUGUCUUCUUUACACUGGAUUGUAACAGGUCAAAGGUCUUAUUUCACAUUCCAUUAAAUGUUAUACAUUCCAUGCGCUGGAAAAAAAGAUGAGGAAAUGGAGCAUACAAGCGGAGCACCAGAAAUGGGCAAAAAACAUUUUGGUUCAUGUAUAUUAUGUUUAUUGUAUAUGUAUGAAUAACAAUAAGCUUAGUGUGAAAACACAACAAUAUUUUUUGCUUUAUUCAAUGUAAAAUUAUUUCGGUUUGUUGAGUAUGUAUCAG